GCUGGGCCCGCCAAGGUGGUCCCAAGGAGGAGUGGGGGGUUGCGGAAAGGAGGAUGAGAGCCAGCCACAAGGCUGGAAAAGGAGUGGGCACCGCAGAGGAGGGAAAAAGAAUCUUGACACUGUCACCGCCAGGGAUCUAGGGGGGCCUCUUACCUUGGAGAAUAACAAUCUCUGAUGUCUGCUAAUUACAGAAAUACUUUCAGAGCUCUUUCAUUCAUCCUGACAAUGGCCAGAGAAGGUAGGUAUUGGUAGCCUUAUUUUAGAGAUGGGGAAACUGAGGCUGAGAGUAGGUAAGUAAGCUGUCCAAGGGCACUCAGCUAACAAAGGACAGAAGCAAGCCUCCUCACUGUCUACCUCCAAAACCUACACUGGCUUGGAGUUGCUGUCCUGGCCCUCCACUGCCCAUCUCAUGUAGGACGGGAGAGUAUGGGGGGCUGGGGUCCCAUCUAUAGCCUGAAUUUGAGACUUUCAGUUGCUCCUCUCAUUCCCCAUUUAAUUUGUGGGGAUCCCCAACUGACCCCUCCCUACACUUCCAGGGCACUGAGGAGGGAGGGCCCGCUGAAGGAGCCCCGAAUUAUCUCUAGGCCAGGUCAGGAGCCAUUAGUGUCCCCUCCCCUGACAGCAUCCUCCUCCUUCUGCCCUCACAUUCAGAGCCACUGACAAGACUUUAAGCAAGAGACGGAGAGUUAACAUCUAAUCUGGAGGAAGACCCUGGAAGGAGCCAGCCCCUUCCCCCAGGCUGACCUGGUUUAAGCCUUUCUUCUGCCAAGGUCACCAGCACCCCAGAUGGGUGAGAGAUGUGAUCACUGGUUUCGUGGCCUGACCAAGGACCUCCAAGGAGGUAUCUUUCCCAUCUUGGCCCACAGAGGAGGAAAUCCUAGAAGGGAUGACUGAAGCUUGGGACUAACACAUUGGUGGAUCUGUGCUACCCCCUGCUGGCCGUAGACGGUAUGACAGCCAAGAUAGGGCAAGGCUUCGAGGGGCGAUGGAUGGAUUCACCGCAGCGGCGACAUUUCUGGACUGUUGUCACCUUCAGUGCAGUCACUGGGAAUAUUCAGAACCCAGGUGAUUGAUAAGGUUUUCCCAGG
rnacentral:lncRNA from 1 species